UACGGAGGGUGCGAGCGUUGCUCGGAAUCACUGGGCGUAAAGCGUACGCAGGCGGUCUAUCAAGUCGGGUGUGAAAGCCCGGGGCUCAACCCCGGAAUUGCGCCCGAGACUGCUGGACUUGAGUGCGGGAGAGGAAAGCGGAAUUCCUGGUGUAGAGGUGAAAUUCGUAGAUAUCAGGAGGAACACCUGUGGCGAAAGCGGCUUUCUGGCCCGACACUGACGCUCAUGUACGAAAGCGCGGGGAGCAAACAGG
rnacentral:rRNA from 1 species